rnacentral:rRNA from 1 species
CCCGCACAAGCGGUGGAGCAUGUGGUUUAAUUCGAUGCAACGCGAAGAACCUUACCUGGUCUUGACAUCCACGGAAGUUUUCAGAGAUGAGAAUGUGCCUUCGGGAACCGUGAGACAGGUGCUGCAUGGCUGUCGUCAGCUCGUGUUGUGAAAUGUUGGGUUAAGUCCCGCAACGAGCGCAACCCUUAUCCUUUGUUGCCAGCGGUCCGGCCGGGAACUCAAAGGAGACUGCCAGUGAUAAACUGGAGGAAGGUGGGGAUGACGUCAAGUCCUCAUGGCCUUUAUGUCUAGGGCUACACACGUGCUACAAUGGGUGGUACAAAGAGCAGCUAACUCGCGAGAGUAUGCAAAUCUCAAAAAGCCAUCCUCAGUUCGGAUUGGAGUCUGCAACUCGACUCCAUGAAGUUGGAAUCGCUAGUAAUCGCGGAUCAGCAUGCCGCGGUGAAUACGUUCCCGGGCCUU